GGGCCCGCACAAGCAGUGGAGCAUGUGGUUUAAUUCGAUGCAACGCGAAGAACCUUACCAGGGUUUGACAUCCUGCGAAUCUCUUGGAAACAGGAGAGUGCCUUCGGGAACGCAGUGACAGGUGGUGCAUGGCUGUCGUCAGCUCGUGUCGUGAGAUGUUGGGUUAAGUCCCGCAACGAGCGCAACCCACGUCUUUAGUUGCCAGCAUUUAGUUGGGCACUCUAGGGAGACUGCCGGUGACAAACCGGAGGAAGGUGGGACGACGUCAAGUCAUCAUGGCCCUUAUGGCAGGCUACACCACGUGCUACGAAUGGCCGGUACAAAGGGCAGCGAAGCCGCAAGGUGGAGCGAAUCUCACAAACGGUCGU
rnacentral:rRNA from 1 species